AGGAAUGAGUAGAACUCUAGAUGACAACAUGGUUGUAGAUUGUGGGGAAGGGGAGAAGUCACACACAACUACGUGCAAACAUAGUACUAAGCCAUUAACAACACAAAAGGAAGAGGAAAAGGAGGAGGGUCACAAGGAACCUGGAGCAUUUCCUAGUGGACUCAGGGAACAGGGCGGGAGACACCCUUCGCAGGGCACAAUCACAUAAACACUAUGGACAAUUUAGGGAUGCCAAUCAGCCUACAGCACAUAUCUUUGGACUGGGGGAGGAAACCAGAGUACCCGGAGGAAACCCCCAAAACAUGGGGAGAACGUUCAAGGCACACAGUGCGGAGGCAGGAAUCAAACCCCAACCCCAGAGAUGAGAAGAGUGUGGAGAGUCCAUGGGAGGUGUGAAUGGGAGCCUUCCUUCAACAGGCAUUUUACUGCGUUAAGAGAAACCACCAUUGUUUAUUGAUUAUUAUAUAGCUUACUCAAUACUAUAAGCUGCAUUACAACUCUAUUACCACUGUUGAGGCUGAUGAUACUCAUAUAUACCUGUGCUUUUGUCCAGAAUAUCUGUCAGAACACAUUGGUAUCCCAGCCUAAAUUAACGAUCACCAUUUCUCAACAUUUUGAAACCAGCAUUUAAAAAUUUUUUAUCCUGCCAAGUCCCUUACAUUAACAAAAGCUUUUCAGGAGAGAAACAUUUUAUCUCAUUGACUAUCAUCGACAAAUCUUAGGGUCAUGGUUGGUGACAAGACCAACUUCAUGGCAGUAUCUCAGUCUUGCUUUGCUCUAUUUAAUAUCAGGAAGAUCAGAGUUUUGUAAUACAUGACACAGCCUCUUGUCCAGACACUUGUCAUCUCUGUUGACAGAAUCAAAAUAUGAUUGUG
ensembl:lncRNA